rnacentral:rRNA from 1 species
UACGUAGGGUGCGAGCGUUAAUCGGAAUUACUGGGCGUAAAGAGUGCGCAGGCGGCCGAGCAAGUCGAGUGUGAAAGCCCCGAGCUUAACUUGGGAACUGCGCUCGAAACUACUUGGCUAGAGUGUGGCAGAGGGAGGUGGAAUUCCACGUGUAGCGGUGAAAUGCGUAGAGAUGUGGAGGAACACCAGUGGCGAAGGCGACUUUCUGGUCUGUAACUGACACUGAGGCGCGAAAGCGUGGGGAGCAAACAGG